rnacentral:rRNA from 1 species
AGCGAACGCUGGCGGCAGGCCUAACACAUGCAAGUCGAACGGACCCUUCGGGGUUAGUGGCGGACGGGUGAGUAACACGUGGGAUCGUGCCUUUAGGUUCGGAAUAACUCAGGGAGACUUGUGCUAAUACCGAAUGUGCCCUUCGGGGGAAAGAUUUAUCGCCUUUAGAGCGGCCCGCGUCUGAUUAGCUAGUUGGUGAGGUAAAGGCUCACCAAGGCGACGAUCAGUAGCUGGUCUGAGAGGAUGAUCAGCCACAUUGGGACUGAGACACGGCCCAAACUCCUACGGGAGGCAGCAGUGGGGAAUCUUGCGCAAUGGGCGAAAGCCUGACGCAGCCAUGCCGCGUGAAUGAUGAAGGUCUUAGGAUUGUAAAAUUCUUUCACCGGGGACGAUAAUGACGGUACCCGGAGAAGAAGCCCCGGCUAACUUCGUGCCAGCAGCCGCAGUAACAC